UUCAUCUAGCAUUACGUAAUUGUCAGCGGCUGUAUCCUCCUCUCAGUAUUAAGGGCAUCAUGGCUUAUUUCUGCAUCGGCAACAACGACUAUAGCACUUGAUCCCGAGGAUGACCCUAUAUUAACCCCGUAUCGCGGUCCCCUUCAUCAUCGAAUGAAUCCGGUGCUCCCUCAUUCAUCUCGGCGUAAUCAACCUUCGCC